AUUCCAGCUCCAAUAGCGUAUAUUAAAGUUGUUGCAGUUAAAACGCUCGUAGUCGGAUUUCGGGGCGGGCCGACCGGUCUGCCGAUGGGUAUGCACUGCUUGUUGGCACUUCUUUUCUGGGGAACUCACUGCUCUUAAUUGAGGGGUGCUGUAACGCAGAUCGUUUACUUUGAAAAAAUUAGAGUGUUCAAAGCAGGCCAACGCAUUGAAUACAUUAGCAUGGAAUAAUGGAAUAGGACUUUGGUCUUAUUUUGUUGGUUUCUAAGGCCGAGGUAAUGAUUAAUAGGGAUAGUUGGGGGCGUUUAUAUUCCGUUGUCAGAGGUGAAAUUCUUGGAUUUACGGAAGAUAAACUACUGCGAAAGCAUUCGCCAAGGAUGUUUUCAUCA
rnacentral:rRNA from 1 species